rnacentral:rRNA from 1 species
AUCCGGAGAUUUCCGAAUGGGGAAACCUAACAGGUUUUACCGCCUGUUAUCACUAAGUGAAUUCAUAGCUUAGUUGAAGGUAGACGUGGGGAACUGAAACAUCUAAGUACCCACAGGAAGAGAAAGAAAUUCGAUUCCCUCAGUAGCGGCGAGCGAAAAGGGAAGAGCCCAAACCAGCAAGCUUGCUUGUUGGGGUUGUAGGACUGAACAUUAGAGUUACCAAGAAACGAAGUAGUUGAAUAAUCUGGGAAGAUUAGCCAAAGAGAGUGAUAGCCUCGUAAGCGAAACUUCGUUUCCUCAGUUCAGGAUCCUGAGUACGGCG